AUACGGAGGGUGCGAGCGUUAAUCGGAAUUACUGGGCGUAAAGCGCACGCAGGCGGUCUGUUAAGCUAGAUGUGAAAGCCCCGCGCUCAACGUGGGAGGGUCAUUUAGAACUGGCAGACUAGAGUCUUGGAGAGGGGAGUGGAAUUCCAGGUGUAGCGGUGAAAUGCGUAGAGAUCUGGAGGAACAUCAAUGGCGAAGGCAACUCCCUGGCCAAAGACUGACGCUCAUGUGCGAAAGUGUGGGUAGCGAACAGGAUUAGAUACCCUGGUAGUCCACACCGUAAACGCUGUCUACUAGCUGUUUGUGGAUUUAAUCCGUGAGUAGCGAAGCUAACGCGAUAAGUAGACCGCCUGGGGAGUACGGCCGCAAGGUUAAAACUCAAAUGAAUUGACGGGGGCCCGCACAAGCGGUGGAGCAUGUGGUUUAAUUCGAUGCAACGCGAAGAACCUUACCUACUCUUGACAUACUAGAAACUUUUCAGAGAUGAAUUGGUGCCUUCGGGAAUCUAGAUAC
rnacentral:rRNA from 1 species